GUGUGAGCACACUGUCUCUUCUUUGCCAGUUUUUGCAUGUGAUGGUUUCCAGGAACUGCUCUCCAAGAGUGAGAUCAUGCCUGGAACAGCAACUGCCAGAGGAAGAUCUACGAAGGCGAGAGGAUUCAAGGAAUGGGGUAGCUUCUAGAAGCUGGAAAAGCAAGCAGAUGGAUUUUCCCUUAGAGACCCCAAAAGGGAACACAGCUCUGCCGACAUCUGAAUGUUAGCCCAGUGAGACUUGUGAUUUUAUGUAUUUAUUCAUGAGAGACACAGAAAGAGAGGCAGAGACAUAGGCUACAGGACUCCAUCCCAGGACCUCUGGAUCAUGACCUGAGCCAAAGGCAGAUGCUCAGCUACUCAGGUGUCCUUAAAGACCUUUUAACAUGACUUAUAAGGAAGCCCAAGAAGGUUUUUCUCUAAUAUAUACUGUGAGGAUCUGGUUCAGCUCCUGAAGGUAUAGCUGUACCUGUCAGGCACUGUGUCCUGAUUUUGGGGUAAAAAAUAUUGUCACUGUAAACGCAAGACGUGUACCGUCCCUGACUUUGGCACUGGCAGGUAAUUGUAGUCAGGAUUCCAGGUCUCGGAGUGCAGAUGGCACCUCAGCAGGGUCAUUGUGCUGCCACAAAACACACUGGCAAAGUCCCAUGACACCAGCCUACCCGACGACAAGCUUCAGAGGACAGCAGUCACAGAGAGAGAGAGAGAGAGAGAGAGGCAGAGACACAGGCAGAGGGAGAAGCAGGCUCCAUGCACCGGGAGCCCGACGUGGGAUUCGAUCCCGGGUCUCCAGGAUCGCGCCCUGGGCCAAAGGCAGGCGCCAAACCGCUGCGCCACCCAGGGAUCCCUAAUAUCCCUCUCUUUUUAAUUGAUCAUCAAAUGGUGGAUCUCUGAUUGUAUGCUCAACUGCCUUU